UAGUCCGCACCGUAAACGAUGCUCACUCGCUGUUGGCGAUAGACAGUCAGCGGCCAAGCGAAAGCGUUAAGUGAGCCACCUGGGGAGUACGAUCGCAAGAUUGAAACUCAAAGGAAUUGACGGGGGUCCGCACAAGCGGUGGAACAUGUGGUUUAAUUCGACGCAACGCGAAUAACCUUACCUGGGCUCGAAGUGCUAGUGACAUCCCAUGAAAGUGGGCUUCUCUUCGGAGACGCUAGUAUAGGUGCUGCAUGGCUGUCGUCAGCUCGUGUCGUGAGAUGUUGGGUUAAGUCCCGUAACGAGCGCAACCCUUAUCCCUAGUUGCCGCCGAGUAAUGUCGAGCACUCUAGGGAGACUGCCGGCGAUAAGCCGGAGGAAGGUGGGGGAUGACGUCAAGUCAUCAUGGCCCUUACGUCCAGGGGCUACACACGUGUUACAAUGGGCUGGGUACAAUGGGCGAAGCCGCAAGGGUGGGAGGACAAUCCCAAAAAACC
rnacentral:rRNA from 1 species